CAGCCGCCGCGGGAAUACGGAGGGUGCAAGCGUUAUCCGGAUUUAUUGGGUUUAAAGGGUCCGUAGGCGGAUCUGUAAGUCAGUGGUGAAAUCUCACAGCUUAACUGUGAAACUGCCAUUGAUACUGCAGGUCUUGAGUAAAUUUGAAGUGGCUGGAAUAAGUAGUGUAGCGGUGAAAUGCAUAGAUAUUACUUAGAACACCAAUUGCGAAGGCAGGUCACUAAGAUUUAACUGACGCUGAUGGACGAAAGCGUGGGGAGCGAACAGGAUUAGAUACCCCAGUAGUCCCUGUCUCUUAUAC
rnacentral:rRNA from 1 species